ensembl:lncRNA
AUUUAAACUUCUUAUUAUUCUUUUUUUUUUUCUUUUUUAUUCUUUUUCUAACACUUAAAUUUCCAAAUCUAUCUCCUCCUGGGGCUUUAAAGCCACAAGCCCCAAACUCGGCAGAGACCUGCAGCAUGGGGGGCAGUUUGGUGCUAUAUCUUUUCAGACUGAUCAGACUUACAGAUUUUUUUUUAUUAAUUAUUAAAAGACAAAACAUUUCCAUAGACUUCCAUUGUCUGAGAAAAAAUGCGCCUCUACAGAAGUAAUUCCCGGGACUGACAGGGAGGAGUCUGCCUUAGUUUCACUUUUAAAUCGGUUAAAAAUACAAAUAAUUUUCAAUUAUCCGGGAGAGUCGCGCGGUGACGUGCUGCCAAGAUGGCGACGGCCUGCUCUGUACACUUUGAGCUUCAAAACCACUCUUCAGGAGUCUACGGGUGACGUCACGGACACUACUUCCAUAUUUUUAUACAGUCUAUGUGCAUGAACCAUAAAUAUGCAGGCAAACGCAGUUGCCUACUAUAUUAGUUGAGCCAAUAGCACGGCAAGAUACUGACAUGGGAUUAUUAUUAACCAAUCAGAUGUAGGUUAUUUAGAACAGCUGUUACACGGAUGAUUUAGCAAUCAGACACGAGCAGCAGCACAUUGAUCAUCGUCAAGGACAUUCUUUGUGUGAUUGUAAGUAUUCAUUUAAUUAGAAUAUGAUAUCUAUAUAAAAUGUUUGUUUUGUACACUGUGUUGUUCAAACGUGUGUAAGCGUCUCGUUAGUGUUGUUUUAAGUAGGGUAACGUUUCAGCUGGCGAACUAGCAGUAGCCAGAGCUGUUGAGAAUAUCAUAUUUAACGGCUCUGGCAGUAGCUAGCAUCAUGCGAUUACAUAUUUGAUUUGGUGUAAACAUUCCAUUCUAACGGUAACACUUCGUCCAACUCACAUAGACUACAGCUCCACUGUAUGUUGGCGGAUAAUUACCUCAGACUGUUUUGCAAACGUUUGCCAAAAACUCAAGGAACGAGCCCUGUGUGAACAAAAGCCAGAUCUAAUGCCGUGUCGUAGUGAUGACCUCUUUUACCAGGUGUUUUGAAGGCAGAUCAACGUUCGCGACGAAAAAAUUUGCAAACUGUAAUGAAGCAGAGAUCAGUUAGUCCUUAAUUUCCACGCAGAAGCUGAGAUCGUUCGAUAGAUUAACUGAAAGCUCUUUCAGCAGGUGUGUGUGAUCAGUACUCAGGUGAGGGAGUGCGCUGUGAUUGGAUGGGGUUGGAGCCUGGUGUGUCUGUGACACAGUGACAGAACAAUGCAUUUAGAUGCCUUUUAUUUAAUGGUGGAGGUGCGAGUUCUGUGAUCCUAUGAACCUGGGAAAGUGCUCACAUGGUCACUCACAUGGUUGUGAAAUGAUAAAAAGAAAUGUAAUAACUUUAAUAAUAGGAAAAUAUCCUAUUUAUUAUUCUGUUUAUCUAUACAUUUUUAUGUAGGUGGUGGAAGAAAAACAAA